UACGUAGGGACCAAGCGUUGUCCGGAAUCAUUGGGCGUAAAGAGCGUGUAGGCGGCUUGUUAAGUCUUGCGUGAAAUCUCGGGGCUCAACCCCGAGCGGUCGUGAGAAACUGGCAGGCUAGAGUGCGGGAGAGGAGAGUGGAAUUCCUGGUGUAGCGGUGAAAUGCGCAGAUAUCAGGAGGAACACCGGUGGUGUAGACGGCUUUCUGGACCGUAACUGACGCUGAGACACGAAAGCGUGGGUAGCAAACAGG
rnacentral:rRNA from 1 species